CAGCCGCCGCGGGAAUACGUAGGUGGCAAGCGUUGUCCGGAAUUAUUGGGCGUAAAGCGCGCGCAGGCGGAUCAGUCAGUCUGUCUUAAAAGUUCGGGGCUUAACCCCGUGAUGGGAUGGAAACUGCUGAUCUAGAGUAUCGGAGAGGAAAGUGGAAUUCCUAGUGUAGCGGUGAAGUGCGUAGAUAUUAGGAAGAACACCAGUGGCGAAGGCGACUUUCUGGACGAAAACUGACGCUGUGGAGCGAAAGCGUGGGGAGCGAACAGGAUUAGAGACCCCAGUAGUCCCUGUCUCUUAUACA
rnacentral:rRNA from 1 species